rnacentral:rRNA from 1 species
UACGUAGGGUGCGAGCGUUAAUCGGAUUUACUGGGCGUAAAGGGCGCGUAGGCGGCCUGUGCAAGUCAGUUGUGAAAUCUCCGAGCUUAACUCGGAACGGUCAACUGAUACUGCUCGGCUAGAGUGCGGAAGGGGCAACUGGAAUUCUUGGUGUAGCGGUGAAAUGCGUAGAUAUCAAGAGGAACACCUGCGGCGAAGGCGGGUUGCUGGGCCGACACUGACGCUGAUGCGCGAAAGCUAGGGGGAGCGAACGGG